rnacentral:rRNA from 1 species
UGGAUCAUGUUGUUAAUUCGAUGAUACGCGAAGAACCUUACCAGGUCUUGACAUCCCCCGCGAUGCUUUAGAGAUAAAGCGGAGGUAUUCGGGGAGACAGGUGGUGCAUGGUUGUCGUCAGCUCGUGUCGUGAGAUGUUGGGUUAAGUCCCGCAACGAGCGCAACCCUAUUGCUAGUUACCAUCAUUAAGUUGGGGACUCUAGCGAGACUGCCAGUGAUAAACUGGAGGAAGGUGGGGAUGACGUCAAAUCAUCAUGCCCCUUAUGACCUGGGCUACAAACGUGAUACAAUGGCUGGAACAAAGGGAUGCGAAGCAGUGAUGUGGAGCGAAACCCAUAAAAACAGUCUCAGUUCGGAUUGAAGUCUGCAACUCGACUGCGUGAAGUCGGAAUCGCUAGUAAUCGUGAAUCAGAAUGUCACGGUGAAUACGUUCCCGGGCCUU